rnacentral:tRNA from 1 species
GAGGGGAUAGCUCAGUGGUAGAGUGCAUGUUUAGCAUGCAUGAGGUCCUGGGUUCAAUCCCCAGUACCGCCA